UUUGUCACUGUUUUAAUAAUAAAAACUACACGAUUCGGGCAUUAUCUUGAAUAAAAAAUCUUGGCCACUUGUAAUGGACGUAAAUUUUACGUCCAACGAGCAAUAACAAGUUUUGUUCCAGAUAAAUUUGGGUUGACUAUAUGAAUCAUUUUCUUACUUGAGAAGUGAAGUGACGUCCAAAAAUCAGUUAUUCUGCUAUUAGAAUAUCAGCACUUUUACAAGGCAUCUCCCACAUAUUUUCUCGUAUUAAAUUGCCAAAAACUCUUUCUUCUGCCGCUAUUCAAUGAAUGGUCCUUGAUGGUUCAACCAUGAAAUUUUCACAUCUUGCAAGCUUGAAGAUUCAGAUACAGAAAUUGAGAAGGAAAAUUAUGUGCAGUAGUUCUGCAAUUAAAUUGAUUAGUUUUCAGAAAAGAUUGCAGGAAAAUUGUUGUCAUGGAUCAUAUUAUGCAAGAUUGUUAAUUUGGAGGUUCAAAUCACCAUGGAGUAAACUUCUGAGGAGGAAAAGCAACACAAUACGAUACAACUACGAUGCUCAAAGCUACUCUCAAAACUUUGAUGAAGGUUGCUCAGACGACAACCCUUCGCCCUUAGCUCCCCGUUAAUUCUAAUCUUUGUAUAUAUUGAGUGCAAGGUAUGCUGGAAUCAGCGGUGUUGAAUGUGAUCUUGUUGUACGGUACUAGGUACUAAACGUGUCCUAAAUAGUUUGAUUUUUCUGGUGUCAAGAAGGCAUUAAGAAAGCUUUAUUUAUUAUUAUUAUUUUUUUUUUCUGUUUGGGAUACUUCGUAUCUAGCAUACCUUAAGAUCAAGGUCAAUAUAGUUCUUAAUAAAACUUAUAUUACCUACCACAACUAGCUUAAAUGCUAAUAUUUUUCAAGAAACUUAUAUUACUUGUUUGAAUUUGAUCAAAGAUUAAAAAUUUUCCAGAUCCCACCUACAAUUUGAUGACUGUCUGGAGCCAGUUUCUUCUUGUUUAUGUUUAAACUUCAAGUUCCAUAACUUGUCAGAUCAAGAAAUCAGCAACUUGGCAGAUGUAAAGUUGUAUAAAUCGAAUAGAAUUUUGUAGUCUGCUGCUCUUUUUUCUUUUUGAG
rnacentral:lncRNA from 1 species